UACGUAGGUGGCAAGCGUUAUCCGGAUUUAUUGGGUGUAGAGGGCGUGUAGGCGGGAGCGCAAGUCAGAUGUGAAGACUCAGGGCUCAACCCUGAGCCUGCAUUUGAAACUGUGUUUCUUGAGUGCUGGAGAGGCAAUCGGAAUUCCGUGUGUAGCGGUGAAAUGCGUAGAUAUACGGAGGAACACCAGUGGCGAAGGCGGAUUGCUGGACAGUAACUGACGCUGAGGCGCGAAAGCGUGGGGAGCAAACAGG
rnacentral:rRNA from 1 species